GAUAAGUUGAGCGGUCGUGCAUGUAAGCAGGUCAGAGUGAGCACUGUAGCGGUCCUUUAAGGCCAGGGGAAUUGAUAAGUCGUUCAGUUGUUAAAGGGACAAACACGUUACCGCUCUUGCACGCUUGGCACUAGAAAGAUCGCAGCCGUUUGAAGCCGGAGCAGUAACUCUACAGCUCUUGCACGCGUUGUACUAGAAAAACCUACAGCUUUCACAGCCGUCUAAAGCCGGAGCAGUAAUCUUACAGCUCUCGCACGUGUAGUACUAAAAAAACCUACAGCUCUUGCAGCCGUUUGAAGCCGGGAAACGUACAGCUUGCAGCAGUAAAGCUAAGCUAUAUUUUACUACCGCAGCUGUGAAGCUAGAAAUAUCUAUAUCUCUAGCAGCUGCUACAAAGAGGAACAUUCCAGCAGCCGUUAAGAAAGGGAACAUUACAGCUGUGGAAGCUGUGUAACUAGGGAGCGUUACGGCUCUCGGAGUUGUGUGGGAUUUGACAGCUGAAUGUGUAGAAUAUAACAAAGUGACGUCAACAUUUAACAGCACAGUGGGAAGCUCACGUCUCACACGACGGUGUACACACUCCUCAUUGAUUGCUUCGCCAAUAAUUUUUUUUCCACCAAGAGAAGAAAAACUCAAGUCGCGCAACUCUCAAGAAACAAUUAACCAGCAAGUUGUCUGCCCUUUGCCUCCCCUGCGUCCAACCACGAAGACGCUGAGCAGAGCGUAGCGUAUCGUCAUUAUGAAGAGUCCUAAUUAAUUGGAUUGAGCCAACACCAGCCCGCACAGGACCUGGCAAUUAGGCGUGAUAAGAGGGGGGAGGGCCAUUUUUUUCCGUCCCUUCUCUCCAACGGUCUUCAGUCGUGACGUCAUCAAAGACCGGAAUCUUAUUUUUUUUCUUAUCACGGCAUGCCGGAAGUGAGAGUACUAAGAGCCGGCUUUUCAGACAUGGAGUUUGGACUUGCAUUUAGAUCUCUGUGUUGUUUUUUGACUGCUGUGGUUAGGUCUCACGGUCUGUCCGUCUACAUGAUUCUGACCGUUGCCAUGGUGACGGCGCUGCUGCCUCUCGCCAGCGCCUCGGAUCCUUGUUUGAAGCCAGAAGAGAUCCACGACAACUGGAGAUCAACCGACGCGGGAGCCACAAGACAGCAACUACAGAUGUGAUCGAGGGCCGAUUCGCCCCCACGAAAUGGUACCUCUUCAACAUCGACGGCUCCAAACGCCACGAUCCCCCACCCAUUGU